GACAGGUACACCUGUAUCACAGAUAUAUAGGGUUAACAGACAGGUACACCUGUAUCAUAAUACCACUGGGUUAACAGACAGGUACAUCUGUAUCACAGAUAUAGAGGGUUAACAGACAGGUACACCUGUAUCAUAAUACCACUGGGUUAACAGAUAUAGAGGGUUAACGAGGCAGGUAUGUAGGUAUGCGUCAGUCAUAAGGGGUUACUCACAUCCUGGCUU
rnacentral:lncRNA from 1 species